UAAGACGUAGGAGGCGAGCGUUAUCCGGAUUCACUGGGCGUAAAGCGCAUGUAGGCGGCUCGACAAGUCGUGUGUGUAAGCCCCCGGCUCAACUGGGGGAGGUCAUGCGAGACUGUGGGGCUUGAGGGCAGCAGAGGAGCGUGGAACUCCCGGUGUAGCGGUGGAAUGCGUAGAGAUCGGGAAGAACACCAGUGGCGAAGGCGGCGCUCUGGGCUGCAACUGACGCUGAGAUGCGAAAGUGUGGGGAGCAAACGGGAUUAGAUACCCCGGUAGUCCACACCCUAAACGAUGAGCACUAGGUGUGGGUGGGAAUGCCAUCCGUGCCGUAGCCAACGCGUUAAGUGCUCCGCCUGGGGACUAUGAGCGCAAGCUUA
rnacentral:rRNA from 1 species